rnacentral:rRNA from 1 species
UACGUAGGGUGCAAGCGUUAUCCGGAAUUAUUGGGCGUAAAGAGCUCGUAGGCGGCUUGUCGCGUCGAUUGUGAAAGCCCGGGGCUUAACUCCGGGUCUGCAGUCGAUACGGGCAGGCUAGAGUGUGGUAGGGGAGAUCGGAAUUCCUGGUGUAGCGGUGAAAUGCGCAGAUAUCAGGAGGAACACCGGUGGCGAAGGCGGGUCUCUGGGCAACUACUGACGCUGAGGAGCGAAAGCGUGGGGAGCGAACAGG